GUGCCUUUGCAUGUCCCUCUGCCUGACACUGCCAGGAAAGCUGAAAGGAAUGAUGCAGAGGCCUUCAGCCUGACCCAAAGCUGCUUUCAUGAGAUGCAAUUUCCUACCGCACUAGGCUGAAUUCUGUAGUUCCCUUGCAGGAUCCUGGCUGAGAGAGAAGCACUGGUCAAGAGUUCACAAAAUAGCUAGGCACAAUGGUGUGCACCCAGAGUUCCAGCCACUUGGGAAGCUGAGGCCCUUCAGCUCAAUGGUGAAAACUAAACACAGAAUAAUAGAAGCCAGGUGCCAUGGCUCAUGCCUGUAAUCUCAGCACUUUGAGAGGCCAAGGCAUGUGGAUCGCUUGAGGAGUUCAAGACCAGCUUGGGCAACACGGCAAAAUCUUGUCUCUAUAAAAAAUACAAAAGUUAGUCGGGUGUAGUGACAUACGUCUGUGGUCCCAGCUGCUCAGGAAACUGAGAAAGAAGACACUGUUACAGUGUAAAAUAAAUAUGAACUUAGAGUUUAUUUCAGAGGUUAAAAACCCAUCCAUACUCCAUGUAGACAAAAAUCCCAUGAGUGGGCUGACACUGUUCCUGUCAUGCUGAGAGGCUCCUGUACUCUGACAACCUUGCUGCAGCUGUGUACCUGAUUCGGAAUAGGGGGAGGGCGCUGGUAAGGGUUCAGGAGAACUGGGAAAGCUAUCUCAGUGUCAGGCUAUCUCUGAUCCACUGAUUCCCCUAAAGUCCUUUUACAGUGUCCCCAGGGCUUAAUCUCCUAUAGAGUGGGCCCAAGACAGCCACAUAGCCUAUAACCAAUACCCUCUGAUCUGCCCUAAGAACAGAACUAAAUCUCUGACUCACCAUUUGGAAUGACCCAAAUUCUCCAAAGUCAAGGACAAACCCAAUGGCCUCUGCCUCUAUCCCACACUUGCAUUCUGGGUUGGGUGAGAACUGCCCUUUCAGGUAAAUAAAUGUCUGGAAUAAAUUGGACUGUUCUACUUACUCUUGUCUUCUAAGGACCUAAAAGAAGUCUAAGAAGCUACCCUAAAGAACACAUGAAUAGUGAGAAGCACAGAAGCAGGGUGUCUCAGACACCAAUUGAUGUAACAUAUCAGAUGGAAGUGGCAGAGCUGUACUGGCUGAGACAAGAGAUAAGAGUAUGGAGGAAACUGGGGGGGAUGCGGCAAAGGUCCAGGAAGCAGACGGCUCCUCUCACCAGGUGAAUUAAAUUUAGGGGAAGUAAAAUAAAUUCUUAAG